GGGCGUGGCCGCUAUUAUAAAAAAAGUGAGAACGCGAAGCGUUCGCACUUUGUCCUAAUAAUAUAUAUAUUAUUAGGACAAAGUGCGAACGCUUCGCGUUCUCACUUUUUUUAUAAUAGCGGCCACGCCCACCGGCUACGUCACGCUCCUGUCGGCCGCCGGCGGUCCAUAAGCCCGGCCGGCCGGGCCGACGCGAAUACCACGCCC
rnacentral:miRNA from 1 species